rnacentral:rRNA from 1 species
AGGAUUCCCUCAGUAAGGGCGACUGAAGCGGGAAGAGCUCAAACCGAAAAUUGUGGUGUGUUUGCGUAUCGGGCCGGCCAAAGUCCCUUGGAACAGGGCAGCGUAGAGGGUGAGACUCCCGUUCUGGUCUUGGAGCAUAUUUGAGUCGAGUUGUUUGGGAUUGCAGCUCAAAGUGGGUGGUAAAUUCCAUCGAAAGCUAAAUAUUGGUGGGAGACCGAUAGCGUACAAGUACCGUGAGGGAAAGAUGCAAAGAACUUUGAAAAGAGAGUUAAAGAGUACCUGAAAUUGCUGAAAUGGAAGCGAAGGAAACCAGUCGUGCGUGUUAUAUUUUUAGGGCUGUGGCUGCACUGGUCAAGGUGGUU